GUAUUGCCCAGGACUAGGCAGGAGACUUCAGGCUUGGUCACCCCCAGAGCAAGGUGGAAGCCCAGCAGUUUAUUGGUUGGUUUGGCUUUUGGUGACAACAAGGUCCUCCUUUGGGACCAAUCCUUGGCCUGGGCCAUAAAGUCCUAGGGCAGAAGUGUGAGUUUGAGUGGGAAAUGAGCAGCAGGGAGGGUUGGAAACAGCUCGGGGAGCAAUUCAACAGGCUCCAGACCUGUGGCCAAUACGAGCUGCAGAGGGGGAACUGAAGGUUCCUGCCAGUGCUAAUGAUGCCAAUUGGAGCCUCUGGCAGAAGUAGGGUAGGAAGGAAGUGCCCUUAGGAUUUGGGAAUAGGAAGUUACUGGAAGCCAG